GCCUAAAAUACCCUGACACUGAGUCUUCCCACCCUGCACAUUCCUGGCCAACCUCCUGGUGACUCAAUGCCGCAUGUCUGUCAUUGGCUGUCGUCUCAGCCACUGCUGUCCUCCUUGAAUUGCAAGUGUCCAGAGGGCAGGGACUGGAUCCCUGCAGUGCCGUCUGCAAUUCUCAGACCUGCCUUCAUUACUUCUGGUACUACCUUCUAGCUCCAUGAAGGUAGGGAGUCUGCCUCAUUCACCAAUUCCUAGAAAGGUGCCAGCGUCUAAUAGGGGCUAAAAAAUUGUUGAAUGAGAGAAUUAAUGAAUUCUAAUUUUGAGGCAUUGGUUUUGCUUUAUUUGU
rnacentral:lncRNA from 1 species